rnacentral:tRNA from 1 species
GGGGCAGUAGCUCAGCGGUAGAGCAGGUAGUUUUGAAAUUAUCCUUAAAAGGUCAAUCUUAACUUACUUCUCGCAUUGUUAACGCCCGUGUCGUGGGUUCGAUUCCCACCUGCUCCA